GUAGUGCAAAGGAUAGUGCGUUGGACUUCUAAUCCAAAGGUUGUGGGCUCGAAUUCCACUUCGCA
rnacentral:tRNA from 1 species